UGGGUUCCCAACAGUCAAAAGCCGAAGAUUUUAUAUUGACCUUUCACUUUUUCUAUCUGUCUCUCGCUCUAAUUUGAGCGAUUUUCCCCUGAUGAGUGUCCCCGAGCCUCCUCGUGUGGUUGUUGUUGUUGGAAGUUGAAACCGAAACCCCCUCGUGUGCUACCAAAAUCAGCGAAGAACGAAAUCGAGUGGCUCAAGCGAAAAAACGAAAAAAAAUGACGAACGAGUGUGCUGUGACAAUAACACACACACGCACAAGGCGACAACCGAAAUCUGGUGCGAUACCGGCUUUCAGUGGAGCAAGUACACACAUGCACACAUUUGGCCACACCAGCGCUCUGUUCUAGUGCAGGUAGUUUUCUGCAGUCCACGGUGAUACUACACACAGCCACGCACUUGGCGAUACACGCUGUGUGGUGGACGUUCAGAAUUCAGUGGUGCAAAUACACACAUGCAUACACUUGGCGACACACGCUCUGCUGUGCGGUGAGAUUUGUGUUCUGUGUCCAGUGGUGCAAAUAUACACACACACGCACUUGGCUACACACGCAGUACGGCGCGGUUGGCUUGGCAGAAGCGCAUACACAAAUUCACGCAGUAGGCUUCACUUUCAGUCCAGUGAGGUUGGUGCUUGUGUGGUGUUUCAGCGCUUGGCGGAUAAACCCCGUAAAAAAUGGAGUUUUGUUUAAUUUGAGACAACAAAACCUGUGUUUGUGAUGUGCAAAUGUUGGUGCAAAUGACGGUUACAGUGGAAAGAUGACAACCAUGAUCAACAGCGGUGGAGUGCAGAAAGUACGGUGAAAAUGUUGCUUUUUAUUCACGGAACAGUUGAUAAAAGUGUUUUUAAUAUAAUGUGCCAUAAUUUGUGUAAUUUGCGAAGUGUUGACCGUGUGUGAAAUAGUUGUUAGUGCGUCUCAUUAAACCGAUUUAUUUGCUAAAAUAAAUCAAGUUGUUCUACUACA